GCUGGCGGCGAUGCCUAAUACAUGCAAGUCGAGCGAAUGGAUUAAGAGCUUGCUCUUAUGAAGUUAGCGGCGGACGGGUGAGUAACACGUGGGUAACCUGCCCAUAAGACUGGGAUAACUCCGGGAAACCGGGGCUAAUACCGGAUAAUAUUUUGAACCGCAUGGUUCGAAAUUGAAAGGCGGCUUCGGCUGUCACUUAUGGAUGGACCCGCGUCGCAUUAGCUAGUUGGUGAGGUAACGGCUCACCAAGGCAACGAUGCGUAGCCGACCUGAGAGGGUGAUCGGCCACACUGGGACUGAGACACGGCCCAGACUCCUACGGGAGGCAGCAGUAGGGAAUCUUCCGCAAUGGACGAAAGUCUGACGGAGCAACGCCGCGUGAGUGAUGAAGGCUUUCGGGUCGUAAAACUCUGUUGUUAGGGAAGAACAAGUGCUAGUUGAAUAAGCUGGCACCUUUGACGACUAA
rnacentral:rRNA from 1 species